AUGAAAAAGCUCAUUCACUGUCUCAUGUUAAUAUUCAAUCUACCAAGUAAAUCAUAAGUCUCACGAGUUCAACAAAUAUAACUCUUAUAAAAUGCACACAAAAUAUAAUAUGAGAGAGUAGGUUUGGGCAUCGGCUCUUCUGGUUGGGUAUGGAUUGGUUCCUUUCGAGUUUAGGUUUUCGGAUCCUAAACAUUUGGACAUAACUAGGCAUUUAAAAAAUUUAGGUUCAGAUUCAGAUCGAAUCAUUUGGAGUCCGGAUCCAUAAUUUAAAUACCUAUAACUUUUGGGUAUGUAACGGGUUCGAAUUGGUUUGAGAUUUUUAGAACUCGAAAAACACUUGAAGUACCCAAAAAUCCAAAAAUACU
rnacentral:lncRNA from 1 species